rnacentral:rRNA from 1 species
CAGCAGCCGCGGUAAUACGUAUGCCACAAGCGUUAUCCGGAUUUAUUGGGCGUAAAGCGCGUCUAGGUGGUUAUGUAAGUCUGAUGUGAAAAUGCAGGGCUCAACUCUGUAUUGCGUUGGAAACUGUGUAACUAGAGUACUGGAGAGGUAAGCGGAACUACAAGUGUAGAGGUGAAAUUCGUAGAUAUUUGUAGGAAUGCCGAUGGGGAAGCCAGCUUACUGGACAGAUACUGACGCUAAAGCGCGAAAGCGUGGGCAGCAAACAGGAUUAGAUACCCCUGUAGUCCCUGUCUCUUAUACA